CCAACCUUGUUCUAAUUACUUGCUACCAAGUUUUCACACCUAGAGGCACAACUAUGUACUAAUGAAACUUUGGGGUCAGAUGAAUUCAAAUUUGAAUUGUAUGACUGGUCUCACUCCCACUCUUGUGGCUACAGAUGGGCUAGAUCCCGUGACUGAGCAAAAGGGGAGAGAGAAGGAAGUGGUUUCUCUCAAAGAUAAAGUGUUUAUCUCUGAGCAGAUAAACACAAGCCCAUUCUGUACUAGAUCAGGAGAGAGAAUGUUGGUUCAAAUCUAAGAUGCAGAGCAGAUUGGUUAAGGACUAAGUUAGUUGAUCAUUUCCUAAGACAAGACUAGGACUAGCAGCAAAGGUGGUAUGGAUACUAUCAAGAUGAGAGGAGAAGUGGACAAACUGAAAACUAGUUCAAGGUCUAACUUUACAAACAUGACCUACCCACUGUGGCAUCCCUCUUACGCUUAGCCUGAUGUGCUUUGGUAGAGGAAGCACCACCCAUAUGAGUCUGCAUUUGCCAAAGGUGCCUUAGAAGAAAGGGAAAGAACUGGAACAGGUCAGCAAGUCCCAUGCUAAUGGGACUCAUGUCAAGCUGGGUCAAGUUGGGGUGUAGAUCUCUCAUUGAGAGCUAAAGCAUGGCGCUAAAAUAAGGGAAAGCAGAGACAUAGAAAACAAUCAAAUCUGAAGAAACCAGAGGAUGGAGAUGGAGGCUGUAGAACAAGGUGGGAAUGGAAGCUGGUGGAGAACAAUAAGGUCCUGCUGAGGAUCCCUGGUGCCCAGUAGGGAACACCGUGAGGAGGAGGAUUAAGAAAGGCACCCUUUCCACUGAUUUGCAUCGCCAUUUGUACAUGGAGUUUGGCUACAGCAAAAUCCGUUGCUAUCUCACCAGCUACAAGAAGCAAAGAACGAAUUGCAAUUCAUUUUUGUGCUCUAGGACCCGGUUGAGGCUUCUCUGCUCUUCCGUGAGUGCUUUCUGUGGCUGGGAUUCCCUCAGGUGAGUCCUGGGGAGCCUGAGUGGUGACACGAAAGCUGAGGAAGGGAGAAAACUGGGAGGUAUUUCAAGAGCUUCUCCCCCCACGCUCUUGCUUCAUUUCCUCCUGCAAUCUAGUUUCAGGACUAAAGAUCCACUGAGGAAAAAGAUUCAGAUUGCCGUCUUCCAGGGCCCCAGACAGCCAAUUUUUCUCUUUGCACAAACCAUAAGAUCCUGUAUGGUUUUUAUUAACCUCCCAGCAGGGGCCCUGCUCAUUUGAUGAUUCAUUAUAAGGGGAAUGGAAAUCGUUAGAAAAGAUUUUCAGCUAAUGGGUAAAAUGUGUGGGGCAGCUCCUAGCCAGGCUGCUGCUGCCUCAGAGUUCACUUUCUUUCGGUGGUCAGUCUCUAGCUCAGUGUGGAAAGGACACCCUGCUUGCCUAGAGACCAGGCUCUCUUCUGGGGAGCAGAAUACCCUGGGCUGGACUAGCAUGAGCAGGCUGAGGGUGCUUGGAGAGCCAGUAGAGGCAUGAAGACGCUUAUCUUCUAGGUUGCUAGUUCAAAUCUCAACUGAGCUGAGGACAGGGAGAGGAGAUGUUCACUGAGGAUGUUUGCUUGUUUCCCUCACAGAAUGGUUGGUCUCCAGUGAGGAUCAAUUUCCAGGACAUGGUGUUGCCUCAUUUAUCCUCACACGUUAAGGAAUCAGCUAUCUGGGACAAGGCAAAAUGGGGUCAAUUCCUUCACCAUGAGGAUAUUCUCUUCCUGCAGCAUAAGCAGGAUUUAGGGCAGGGCUGAUCUCAGAGGACCAAGGCCCGGAUGACUUCUCUUUUCUGUCUAUAUCCUCUCCCAAGGUGAUCUCAUCCAAUCCCAUGGCUUUAAACACCAACACCCAAAUUUAUAUCUUCAGUCCCGACUUCUGCUUUUCAACUUCAGCUUCAUUAUCUACAAUUGCCUCCUUGUCAUCUCCAUUUGGAUAUCUAAACAUGUGCAAACAGCCUUCCGGAACCUUCUACUCACACCUAUUCUACCCAUAUCUCAAGAACGUCCUUCUUCUAGUUGCUCAGGCCAAAAACCUCGACUCCUCCAUUUGUCUCACAACCCACCUCCAAAGUGAAUCAUUUGUCAGUACCAUGAAACAUGUCCAGCUCUCUGCCAUCUCCACUGCUAUCCCCUGGUCCAAGGCACUGCCGUCUAGCCUUUGUCACUGUCAUGGCUUCCUAGCUGGUCUUCUUGCUUCUGCCCCACCUGUCUUCUGUCUAUUCACACCCAGCAACCUGGGUGACUCUUAACACUUAGGUCAGGUCAUGUCACUCUUCCCAUUCACAACCCUCCAGCACCUCCCGUCUAAUGCAAAGGAAAAGCCAAAGUCCUUACAGUGGCCACAGAGGCUCUGAUGAUCUGCCCUGGCCCUUCCCUGUCUGACUUCAUCUCCCACGGCUCUCAGCUUUGCUUUUUCCCCUUCUGCCACUCUGACCUCCUAGCUAUUCUCACCUCAGUUUCCCUCCACGGGAGUUCCCUCCCAGAUAUUCAUGUGGUCACUCCGUCUUUUCCUUCAGGUCCCUUGCCUUUAGGUGAGACCUUCCCUGACCAUCCUCCAUACAACAGCAAAAUCAUACCUCUGGAACUGGUCAUCCCAUCACUGCAGCAUAAAGAAUUCUCUGUGGCAUUCCCUCAUCGUUCAUGUAUGCUUUUAUUCUUUUAUGUGAUGGUCAGUCAGGUGUGGCCAUAAGAGGAGACGCAAGAGAGGUUCAGGGAAACAAAGUUUAUUUACUCACAGGUCCUAGAGACAGGAGACACACCACUCCAUGGAGAACCACAUGGGGAAGGCCUGGGGCAGUCAGGAGGCAGAGGAUGGAAGAAAGGGAAAUGCAUUAGGCCAGAGCCUUUUGGGGGCUUUCCAUGGGAAAGGCAAGCAAGGGGGGUAAACUGUUCAGAAUUGGCUGGUUUGACUCUUUCCAGCAGGCUUUAAACUCUAGGGGUGGUGCCUAGUUGCCUGAUACCUGGCUCUGGGAUGAUUAAGGCAGAUGGAUAUUGCCUCUUGGGGAGACAUGGGCAAAAUCAAUGAGCUAUAGCUCUGGAUUCAUUAGUUUGCAUAUCAAAAGCUUAUGCCAGAUGAGCAUUUUGCUACCUCUUAAGAAUCAGCUAGGCCUAGGAGGGACAGUCUCUCCCCAGCCAGAACAGUUUUUAAAGAUGUCAAAGCAUCAUAAUAUACAAAGUUAAAAAUACUUACAAUACAGUGUAUUCUCCAUCUCUACCACAAUGUAAGUUCCAUGAGAACAGGGACUUUUUCUGUUUUGUUCACUGU
rnacentral:lncRNA from 1 species